CUUGAUCGAGCCCAGCCACAGCGGCUCUUCGCGCUCUUGGCCGUAGGUGGCCAGCAGCGCCUGUGCCUC
rfam:Streptomyces yokosukanensis strain DSM 40224 genomic scaffold PRJNA299221_s002, whole genome shotgun sequence.